AAGAAAAUAGAUUUUAAAAAAUGGAAGAAAAAACAGGAAACUGUAAAAGGUUAAAAAGUUAUAUGAAAAUAGGAAAGCCUUGGCUGGAUUUAGCAUGUGGGUGCUGGUGACCCAUGAAGUACAGGAGGUCAGACUAGAUCAUCCGAUCAUCCCUUCUAGCCUUAAACUCUGAUUACGUACAACAAGAAGAGGAAAGUUAAAGAAAAUGUGUAUUAAAAUAAAUAGAAACAAGGCCAACGGUUAAAGAUAAAAACAGAGAAAGGGGUAAAAAUAAUUUUUGAAACUAAUAGAGAAUAUUUUAGGCAAUGGUUCAAAUCAUAUAAAAACAACUGAAACAAAACAAUAGACAUUGUGGAAAGGAGGAAACAAUAAAUGAGAAGAAUCAGGCACGCAGCUGAUGAUCCGAAAGGCAUCCAGGCAUUGGUGUCCAGUAAAACUUAUGGCAACUGCAGAUGCUGAUACAGCCUGAACCCUGCAAAUGCUCAUACAUGUGGGGUGAAAUUCAUCCCUGAUAUGGAGAGCUCCCCGUGUGGAGUCACUGAGCUCAGCCACCCUGCAGGCAUGCAGGUUGUAACAUGAGGCCCCUAGAUGAGAUGUCAGCAGCUGGAACCCUGGACCUCUGGAUCUCAAAGCAUGAGCUGAAAGCUGUGCUGCUUGAGCUAAAAGAAUUGGCUUUGAUAGCUCAAAAGAACAUGAUAGCACUCAUACAUCUCUAUGUGAUCCACCACUAAAGAGGGACAGAAAACCACACUGAGUAAGCAUGUAUGUGUCCCUGAUCUCUUUGUGGGAAGGUGCCCUGGGACUAAUGCAAAGGGGCUGCCUGCUGCUCUAGCGUAGAGGUUGGAGUAGCAGCUCCAAGGGACCUGAGCAACAGCCAGGGGCGGAGGUAAAUGGAGUCUGGAUAUCCGGGCAGAGACUGUAAACUUUACUCACCUGGGUCACCUGGUUAAGCUGGCUGGGACCGUGUGUGAACAGAGUCUUUGUGUCUGUGUGUGUGUGUUGGCAGGAUUAGGGUGUGACUGCCAACUGCCUUUCUCCAUCUGGUGGCGCUAUUUACACCUGUGCAAAUGUGAGUGUUAAAUAUUGAGAAUGAAUCCGCUGGAGUCCUGGGGCGGGUUCCCCUCUUGCUCACCCUGAUAUAAAUCAGGAGUAACCCCACUGGAGUUACACUGAUGUAAAACUGAUGCAACAGAGCUGAGGACUCUGAGUGACUCCCAUGGUACCACUCAUGUAAUUGUUGCUGGCAGACUAAGCCCCUGGGGGACCCGAUACACAGGCAGCUGCUCUCAUGCAGAUCUUUACUGGCAUUCAUAGUCAGUGUGGGAGUAAUAAAGUUUUAGGGCCAGAUCCUCAGCUGCUGGAACCUGGCAGAGCUGCAUUGACUUAACUGGAGCUAUGCCAAUUAAACCAGCUGAGGAACUGGCUGAGGUAACUGUUUGCAGGCUCAUAGAAGUUCUGGGGGAAGAGACCUGGAUACCUAGCUCAAUUUCAGGGCACAUUGGGCCAGAUCUGGAGUAAUCCUGAGCACCUGCAAUGAUACCACCACAAUGGGCGCUAGAAAAAAACCUGCAGAUACACUGGUGCUUGGCAGCUCCCCCUGGAUUUGGCCCAGCAUUCCGUCAUGAUGCUGAGAAUGGAUGCUACGUGGGGAACACCUCCCCAUGCUGGUGGAGCAGGAUCCUGCCCUCUCUUCAGAUCCCUGCAAAGUGCAGCUGUGCUAAUCCACUGCCCACAAAAGCUUGACUUAUUUACUUGUUAAUAACAAACACUGCCCUGCUCUGUGAUGCUCCAGUGACUAGUCAUCCAGGGAGGUACUGGGCCCAAGACCUGCCAGAGGUCCAAGCACCAGUUUGUUCCUGGACCUCUGGCAAGCCCUGGGCUUGGGGCCAAAUUUCCCCCUUUCUCUGCUUCAUGUGUCUGAGCUGCUGUGUUCUCUUUGUUUCUUAGGUUGUAAGCUCCUUAAAGCAGGGACUGUGUCUUUUUCUGUGUUCUGUGGGGCAAGAGCACAUGCUAGCUGCUCAAUGUAGAACAAACAGACGGUGGUAGUGGUGGAGGGGAAGUUGAUGGCCUAUCAGAGAUUCCAUGCCAGAGAGAGAACCAUUAUAAAUGUCCGGGUGUGGCCAGAGCUCAGGUCUUGCGACACAUCAGAGGACUCGCUUUGGAGAGACACCCUUAUAAGUGACCUGACUGAAGGGGAACGCUUGGGUGAGAGCUCACUCCUUGUUAUGCACCACAGACUCUGCACUGGAGAGAGACCCUAUAGAUGCCCUGGUGAGGGCUGGCUGCAGUGCAUAUCAGAGGCAUGAGUACGCAGCUGUCUGUCCCUGGAUUCAGGGGGCAUCAGCAGGUGACCCCAAGCUGAUAGGUGAUCCUCUGACUCCACCCAGCCUAGCAGAUCCCAGGUGGGUGAGGGAGAGAGAACCAUCCUCCUGUAGCUUCCAGCCCCUGGAUGAAGAUUCCCUCCCCAUGCCCUGUGGUCUGCACUACUCCCACUGCUGGGCCCAGCAGAAGAGGAACGGAGAACCCCAGUCCUCUGGAUACGUCUCCCUCAUCUUUGAGCCUGGGAACAGGGAUGUUGGGCACAUCACGCCUUCCCAAGAAGACCUGAGACCCAGUGGCCUUCUGUCUCUUAGCAUGACCGUUGCCUGGAUCUGUUUCUGGGGUGGCAGUGAGGAGGUGGAUGUGUCCUCAUAACCCCUUUUCUUCCAAAUUCUUCCAGGACACCUGCGUGUGAUUAACCUGUGGAACCUGCAGCUGCAGGAAAUUACUGGGGCACACUGCUCCACAAAGGCCUCUCCUAGCUCCAAAGUGCAAGCUGGGACUCUGCAUUGUCAUAACCGCAUGACAGCUCAGUGCCUCCUCCCAGGUGGACCUGCCUUGGACCAGCACCAAGUAAAAGGACAAUCUCCCUGAAGGACAGACACAAAUGUAUCUGGUCCUGAUCCUACUCCAGGUGGUGGUCCCACCUCUUCCAAGUGAAGGUCUUUGUAUUACUCAAGAAAGAAGCUGGGGAGAUGACUCCCUUGGUCAGGCCUGAAUCCUUCCUGACCCACAUCACCAAAGGCAGAGGGAGAAGACAACCUUGACAUUCAGCUGGGCAUCUUCCACCCCAUCUGCCACAGAGUGCUGGGUGGGGAUGACAGAGACUGACUCUCUGCUGCACUCAUCCCCAGAGGGGAUAAAAGCCUCACCUAGGAUCAGAGAUGCUGGAACCUGCCCCUUGCCUGUGAGAGUGGGUGCCAGCCGACAAGAAGUUAAUGCUAAAAUAUUAGAUGGUAAUUACUUAACUACAAUUUAACUGAGAUUUAUAUAUUUUCUAGUAUCUGCUUGUUUGCUUUUGUAACUGGCGCCAACUGUCUCUCUCUUCGAUUUGCCUGUACUUUCUGAUCGGCUUGGAAAUGUUUUACUGCUUGUGAACAGCAACGUGCCCAUUUGUUUUUCUGAAAUGCAAUGUACUGGAUUGAAAUUUUUGUGCAUUGAGUUGUCAUGAUGGCUCUGUUUUUAUUUUACUUUACUUCACUUCAUUCUCUUUCUUUCAAUGAGUAGUAAUAAAUUAGAAUUUAGUUAUCCCAACAGCA